rnacentral:lncRNA from 1 species
AAAGCCUGACAGGUUUCUCCGGGAAAGUGACCAUCCAUGGAAUGAAUGAAAUGUUCCCUUUCUAUUCCUGAUACAGACAGGCAUGCAGAAGUAACUAGACGUCCAACACAUGGCAAAGUCUUGCGGGCCCAGGAUUUCAAACAAAAGAAAACUCGGACAGGAGUGCUCUGCCCACCUGGACUGAGGGAACAGCCCUGGCAAAGUCUCAAGACAGGUCAAGAAACUGGGGAAGGCAAUCAGCUCUUGCAUCGUCCACAUUGUUUCUGGAGCACAGCCUGGCUGAUCCUGGGGCUAGAGCUCAGAACCAGAUCCAGCUUAGAAAUAAUGUUUCACUCAAGAUAA